GCCUGGCUGGCUCAGUCAGUAGAGCAUGUGACUCUUGAUCUCAAGGCUAUGAGUUUGAGCUCCAUGUUGGGUG
rnacentral:tRNA from 1 species